rnacentral:lncRNA from 12 species
GCAUCUGCCCCAGUGAUACAGAGACAUAGAACACACAAUCCCCCCCGGAGAGAGAGGAGGUUGCUCUGAGCUCCAUCCUGUCCACGCCUAGGAGAAACCAGCCUCAUGGCACAUUUGGCAUAUUUGGGAAGGUCUUUGGGGGCUGCACACCCUCAGCCUCUUUCGCAGUUGGCUGCAGCACCUGCUGGAGAGGAACCUCUCUGUUCCAGAAGGAAGUCGUGGCGCCCCACGCAAAGGCAGCAGCAGGUGGAAGAAGUGGAGGAAGGAAUGUCCUCGGCAGCCUCCCUCCUCCACAGGACAGAUGCCUCAUUGCCUUAUUCCCUUUGCCACCUGGGACUGACCUGGGGUCUUUGCCUGGAGCUGAGCAGUGUGGAGAAGGUUGGGGGUCAGCGGGUGACACACGCUGGUUUAAUGGGCACAAAGUUCCCAGUUGAAGGUUUGGGUCCCAGCGCCUCCCCCCCCCCCCCAACCUGAACCCACUGACCCCUGAGUGGGUGGGGAGAAGCUAAUUGAGCUGCAGUGUUUGCUCAGGGCUCUAUGGCCUGGCCUUGGGCCCAAGAGCAGGGAUGGGAGAGUGGCUUUCCCUUAGAUUUGAGGGCGGCCCUUCUAUACCCUGCCCACAGAGAUACCUCACCCUGCCCCCCAGCUUCCCCCUCUCUCCUACACAUCCACACCUGUGUGCACACACACACAUACACACACACACACUCCUCACUGUGUCCUCCAGCUCUCUGAAUCAGAGACAAGUAGAAAAAAAAACCAGACUCUGAAGCUAGGGAGUGACCCACACAUUCCAGUGACUCGAGAUGCCCAGACACCCAUGCCCCAGGCCAUCAGGUCCCUGCUUUGCCAUGGGACUUUGCAUAAUCCAAGGCUUUGGUCUCUCUCCAACCGGAAGGCUGAACAAAGUGACCAGGAUGGCUCCCAAGCUGUUCCUGUCCGAAUUCCGUGCGGUGGGACCAGGACGGGCUGUGCUUUCUGUUACCAUUCGUCCCAGAGUCUGUGCAAGCCACCUCACCUCCCUCGGCCUCCAUCUACCCACCCACUGGGGAUGUGGGAAUGGGUAUGAAUCUGGCCGCUGCCGCUAAAUUGGCUAUGUGACCUUGGGUGAUUUACUUUACCACUUUGGACUUUGUUUUUGUUUUGUUUUGUUUUUAACCUGUAGGAUGUGGACAAUAAUGCCUGCCUUGCAAGUUCUGUGUGAGUUUACAGGGGAGCAUUUAGCUGGGCCCAGCAGGCUGGAGGGGGUGAACCCCUGGGGGAGGUUGCCAGAGAACAUACUUGCAAUACUGGGGGCAUAUUUAUACUAAAAAAAAUUCUUCAUUGUUUAUCUGAAAUUCAAAUGGAAUGGGACGUCCUGUAUUUUAUUUGGUAAUCCAAUACAUAUAUGCCAUGUUGGGGGAGUGUUCUAGAACUCGGGGGUGGGGGAGGGUCUAUGAAGUCCAGGGGGCUAAAUCCUGCCCAUGGCUCUGCUUUAUGCCCUGGCCCCUGAGCUAAGAAUGGCUUACACAUCUCUGAAGGGCUAACAAAACAAAACAAAAUAAAGCCUGUGUGUCAGAGACCA